rnacentral:rRNA from 1 species
UACGGGGGGAGCAAGCGUUGUUCGGAUUUACUGGGCGGAAAGGGCGCGUAGGCGGCGCAACAAGUCACUUGUGAAAUCUCCGGGCUUAACCCGGAAAGGUCAGCCGAUACUGCGGGGCUAGAGUGCAGAAGGGGCAACUGGAAUUCUCGGUGUAGCGGUGAAAUGCGUAGAUAUCGAGAGGAACACCUGCGGCGAAGGCGGGUUGCUGGGCUGACACUGACGCUGAGGCGCGAAAGCUAGGGGAGCGAACGGG